rnacentral:rRNA from 1 species
UACGAAGGGGGCGAGCGUUGUUCGGAUUUACUGGGCGUAAAGGGCGCGUAGGCGGCCUUGUCAGUCAGGCGUGAAAGCCCCGGGCUCAACCUGGGAACGGCGCUUGGGACGGCGAGGCUGGAGUUCGGGAGAGGAGAGUGGAAUUCUCGGUGUAGAGGUGAAAUUCGUAGAUAUCGAGAGGAACACCGGUGGCGAAGGCGGCGAUCUGGACGAUGACUGACGCUGAGACGCGAAAGCGUGGGGAGCAAACAGG